rnacentral:rRNA from 1 species
CGCCGCGGUUAUACGAGGGACCCAAGUUGAAAUAUACGGCGUAAAGCGUGAUUAAUAGCACACACUACUAAAGUCGAACCCCUUCAAGGCUGUUAUACGCCCCCGAAAAUGGGAAGUCCAUGUACGAAAGUAACUUUAAAUUAUAUGAAUCCACGAAAGCUAAGAAA